CCUUUGGUGUGGCGAAAAACUGGACAUGUGUGUAAACGAACUUUCACUACAAAAAAAUAAAUGGUUGCAUUGGAACAUCAUCCCUUAAAGAAGAAACACAAAAUAAAAACCACAAAAUACCGGCUUUCUUCUGCUAAAACCAAUCCUCCUCUAGUGCAAAAUAUCUGCCCCAAUAUGAAAUCCCAACCCACGGCAUGGAUAAAUGUUUUUGUCAUUUUGUUUUUUCCGGCACUUUCGCCGACUGUCGUUUGAUAGAGCAUGCUCUCUUCAGCAGCACAAAGUGGAUCGUGUUUUAUAUUUUGUGGAACGUAAUUUCUCUUUUCCUCUACACCACCUUAUCGAGUCCUUUUUUCUGUCGUUUCAACGGUGCAGUACACGUGACUGUAUCUUGUGAAAUACCUUAACAUAGUCAUACGCUUUUUGGGAACACGGCAUUAACUUUUCAACUUAGCUGGCAGAUGUGGGGUUAUAACAGCAGCAUGCAGCAGCAGCAACUUGUCUCACAAGAACCGUAAUUUGUUUAGUAUAUUGUGCAAGGUUUGAUCCAACAUUGGCAUUGGUUCGCUAUUCGUAUAUGCAUAAAGGAAGAAGGAUACCAUUUUCUGUAAGGAAAAUAAAGGACUUCUUUUCGUUGGUAUAUCCAAUCGGGAACGGGAUGCCAUCGCCAUGUCAAAGAAAAGUGAUACUCCAGUUGGAUUUUCGUGUGUUGCCAACCAGUCGUUGCUGCGACUGGUAUUGGUAAUUUUUUUUUCUUGUAUUCAUGUGAAGGAUUACGUCGUUAUGUGUUUUGAAAUUCAGAAAUAAGUGACAGUCGAUGUCCUCUUUUCAUCGAAGAUGCAUCCUUCGGAAUAAAUUAAUUGAAUCCUGCUAUUAACCAAGAAAAUUGGAAGAAAAACAAUUUUUCAACUCGGAUUUUAAACUUCGUGUGCGAAUGUUUUUUUAUUUAUACAACAAAUAAAAUACAAAAAUAAAAUUCAAUCAUUCAAGCUUUGAAAAAAAAACAUCGGAAAAAAUAUAUUUCUAUUAAAUUAUCGGAAAAUACAAAAAUUAAAUUUUUAAAGUUUUGGUUAAAAUUUAAUUUAAUUUUUUUUUAAAUUUACAUAUUAUAAAGUUUUGGUAAUAAAGUUUUGUGUGAAAUGAAGUGUUUGCUCAUUAAUGACGAAAAAUUGUUGACACAACCUAGACCAACAUCCACAGCUGAAACAGGAAUACAUCCAUCAUUUUUAACUGAUUCCAUGAAAAUAAAACAAAAGACAAAAUGAUUGUAUCGGAAAAAAGCUGUGGGUUGGUUGCGUGUAAGAAUUACACGUAAUGAAUAAGUGCACCUGUACCUAUCUUAAUGUUCAUUCGUUUGGUGAGCCAACGCAACGUUUAUGCAACUAAAUGUCCUCAAAUAAAUCUUAAUAAGUAUGUUAAAUUAUUCUCACUUGUUUCCCCUGUUAGUUGUUCAACAUCAACCCUAUAAAUUAAUAAAAUGUGACAGUGUGUCUACUGAUUGAAAAUGAAAAUAUUAAUGGAAAUAAGUUGUAGCUGAUUUGACUGUUAAAGUCACGUUUUUUAAAGUUCAAAAAUGUUGAUGUAUACACGCUGAACAAGUACAUAUUACGGAAAAAUAACAACAAAUUAUCUCUCCUAGGGAUUAAUCGAAAACAUUUUAUUGCCAAGGUUUUUGCUUCCUGAAUAAUUUUUCAAAACAAAAAUGAGUAUUAUCCCUAUUCAAUGAAAUGUAACCUAAUAUAACUCCCACACUAACUUAUUUUAAAGUUUUUGUAUGUUAAUUGUUCACAGGUAUUCAAGCUUAUUUCCAACAAAAAUCACAAAGUUCAACCUCAGGAAAAACGUUAACAUAUUAAAUAGUUUUGGUUUAUCUCAAUUAUUCUAAUAGCCAAAUUUUGAUCUGGAUCAAAAAAUUAUAUGAAUUUAUUUUCAUUGAAAAAACAUGUUGGCCGCUUAAUCCAUUAAAAUUAUACAAUAAUACGCUUUUUGCAAGGGGACUUUCUGCAUUCUUAAAUUAUAGUAACCGGCGAACGUAGGAGUAGUUAUUCUCUCACUACCACCUGUGUUUUCUUCUUGAGAAAAACCA